CUUUGCCCAGCCAUACCGGACCUUUCCUUCCUUCUCUUCUUCAUUAAUCGACUUCUUCACUACAUACUUGUGAAGUAUGCACCAUAUGCCAGCACCCGAGACACGUGGUGGGAAUUCAGUGGGAAACCGACCAACAAAAAUAGGUGGGGGGUGCCUGGGUGGCUCAGCUGGUUAAACAUCGGAAUCUGGAUUUCGGCUCAGGUCAUGAUCUCAUGGUUCGUGAAAUCGGGCCCCAUGUUGGGUUCAUGAGAUCAAGCCCUAUGUCGGGCUCUGCACUGACAGUGUGGAACCUGCUUGGAAUUCUCUCUCUCUCUCUCUCUCUCUCUCUCUCUCUCUCUCCAAAUAAAUAAAUAAACUUAAAAAAAAGUAGGUGGUUUUAA